AUCCAACUGACGAGUCCCAAAUAGGACGAAACAUGCCCCCUGGAU
rnacentral:hammerhead_ribozyme from 1 species